CUAAAGCGCCUCUAUAAAUUGCUCGUUGUUCCUAUAUUUACUUCAUCGAAAUCUUUUAGUACUGCUUCUAUCUCGUAACGCUAAAAUCUUCAAAUGGCUCCAUUCACUAACAAGCAAUACCCUUCUUUGAUCAUAAUGGUGGUCUUGUGCAUUUUCCUCUUCCCAAUGAUGCAAGCGCAAUCCUAUGACUCUGUUUAUUAUAUUCGUGGAUGCUCACAUGGAAAAGCCACCAUGCAAUACCUUAUUCAGAACAGAAAGUUGCUUUUGAAAGAGAAAGAGACAGUAACCAUUAUUGUACCUGGAACUGGAUGUUAAUGAAGGACAUGGACAUGCACAAAUAGUAAGCUCAGUGAUUAAUGGGAAGAACAAGUCGGAUGAAUAUGUAGAAUUAAGGGAAGCACCAAUGGGACCAGACCCUUUGCACCAU